rnacentral:rRNA from 1 species
UACAGAGGUCUCAAGCGUUGUUCGGAUUCAUUGGGCGUAAAGGGUGCGUAGGCGGGCCACCAAGUCAGGGGUGAAAUCCCACGGCUCAACCGUGGAAGUGCCUCUGAUACUUGUGGCCUCGAGGGGUGCAGGGGCGUGCGGAACUCAGGGUGGAGCGGUGAAAUGCGUAGAUAUCCUGAGGAACACCGGUGGCGAAAGCGGCGCGCUAGACACCUUCUGACGCUGAGGCACGAAAGCCAGGGGAGCAAACGGG